UAAUGAUUAUGGGGACAACUCAAUAACAAUCCCUUGAAGCGUUUCCAUGCUUGAGGGAAGCCUCCCUUUUCCUUUCUACUUGAACCCUAAAAUUUCAGUUCUAAACUA
rfam:Solanum tuberosum cultivar DM 1-3 516 R44 scf00001_302, whole genome shotgun sequence.